AGUCAAUAGAUACCCUGGUAGUCCACGCCGUAAACGAUGAGUACUAGGUGUAGGAGGUAUCGACUCCUUCUGUGCCGCAGUUAACACAAUAAGUACUCCGCCUGGGAAGUACGGUCGCAAGAUUAAAACCUCAAAGGAAUUGACGGGGGUCCCGCACAGGCAGCGAAGCAUGUGGUUUAAUUCGAAGCAACGCGAAGAACCUUACCUAGACUUGACAUCUCCUGAAUAGUGUAGAGAUACAUGAAGCCCUUCGGGGUCAGGAAGACAGGUGGUGCAUGGUUGUCGUCAGCUCGUGUCGUGAGAUGUUGGGUUUAAAGUUCCCGCAACGAGCGCAACCCGUUAUUACCUAGUUGCUACCAUUAACGUUGAGCACUCUAGUGAGACUGCCC
rnacentral:rRNA from 1 species